GUGCUGUCCCCCUCCAUGAAUGAGCUGCAGCAGGGGAAGGCCACACUCAUGUGUGUGGCCAACAAGGGCUUCCCCUCAGACUGGACUCUGUCCUGGGAGGUAGUCGGCAGCAGCAGCUGGGAGGAGAGCAGGAGCCCCGGGGUGCUGCAGAAGGACGGCCUCUACAGCUGGAGCAGCACCCUGAGGCUCUCUGCAGACCAGUGGGAGAAGGUGACCUGUCAGGCCAAGAGAGGAUCCCACCGUCCAGUCUUGGAGACACUCAGGAGAGACCAGUGCUCCCAGUCCUGAACUAAAGACUUAAAU